UAGAGCAGUCAGCAACAUGCUGAAAAAUAGCUAACAGAAAAGUCAUUAAUAUACUCGCAUACACAAACUUACUUACGAAUAAUUAUUUAUAAUUACUAACAGUUCUUGAAAUUAUUAACUACUUAACGAAUUUCAAACUUCCUUUUGCUCGCUGCUUUAUAACUAACGAAACUUCAUUAUAUCAGUACAAUAUAACGUUAGGACUAAUUCGAUGAAACUUCAUUGAUACCUACCUUUCGCUAUCUGUCCAAUUAUUUUUGUCUCCGACUGUAUCUCGGACACAGAAAGGACGACGGAAGAAGGCGAGCGCACCGGUUACGUUACAGGGUAAUUUAUCAGGGCACAAGAUCUUCCGGUUACUGGUAGUGGCAUGUAAUAACGAAGACGACGACGACGGCGACGAAUACACCGUCUAGAUUGUAUUUGUGUAAUGGUUACAUCGCGGACGAAAAAUCUGUGUGGAACGCGAACGUCGGCGCGGCAAGUUGUGUGCCAGCAAAGGUAGAAGAGCAAAGAGCCGUAGAGAGUGACAAAUUUUACGAGAGACGGGGAAAAAAGAAGAGACAGGGAACAUGGUGAAAGUUACGAGAAUUGAAGAGCAGAGGGAACGAGAGACGGAAAAUUAUGAUGGUAAAAAGAGAUAGAGAAAAGAGAGAGGUUUACAGAGGAAGAUAUUGACUUGUUCGAUAAUUUUUUAGUUUUUUAAACAGUCUGUUUGUUCUAUUACGUCCUGUAUAUUCGUAUUCAGCCGAGAUUUAAACAUAAUUAAUUUUCUACUUUGGAAAAUACUGCGUCGCUGAUACUAAUUUUAGCUGCACAUCAAGUGCAUCUAUUAAAGGAACAAAUCGGGUAUUUGUCAAUAGAAAGAAGGUGAUUUUUCAACGAGCAACAUUUUAUAUUUUAUAUUUUGUAUAAAAGCUAGGUAAAGAACGAUCGACAUUUAUCAACCGUCUAUUCCAUCGUGUUUAUAUUCUGAUAAAUGAACACUGCAGAAGCCUUUCAAACGUACUUCAGGGAAUUCAUUGGUAAGUUGGCUGAGUAAAACAAAGCGCAAUAUAGGAAGCAAAACGUUACAAAAAUAUAUUUUAUUAUACGCUACCUGUACAAAGCGAUAGAUAUUUUAACAGAAA